UGGACGGGUAGUAUUGAUGAUCAAAAAGAAUUGUUCUUACAUGUUCUCGCUGAAUUGACCACCAAGCAAUUACGUGCCGAGAACAACAACUGUAUGGACUUCGACACCUACAACCGGAAACACAAGCAAUUGAUCAGUGAUAAUUGGGAAAAAGCAAUCGGUUUUUUUCACCGUAUUCUCAAUGGCGAAUGGAAAGAAAAACCAAAGCCCAUCGAGGCAGGUAUCGACGACAAAACCAUCAUAUGUGAUACCGAU